CUUUGCUGGUGGGAAGAGAACCGGUUGCCCCAGGAAGUAUGGUGAAAAGUGUUCAGUUGUGAACGCAGUGGAAAAGGGAUCGCAGGAGUUCUGCAGAAAAAAUAUAGGGUGCUUGACCUGGGAGUGGGAAAGCAAGACUUCUAAAGAAAUACAUGAGGAUUUCCUGCCGGGAUUGCUUUUCCUGACGUGGUUUCUGACAGCUUCUCUGGGCCGUGGUCUCCUGCAGGACAGUCAUCUUUCCAUCAGUAACCGCGGCGUCUGCUUCCUGCAUGUUCAAGGCGACCUCCUCCAGAUGGCCAUCUCAUUGAUGGAUGUCACUUUAGUGCUAGGUGUCCAGAUGUGCUUAUGAAAUGAAAGAAAAUUACUCAGGAGAAAAUAACUCUUCACUUUUAUUAAGAAAUUGGGAUAUCAGAAGUAAGAAAUAUAUGAUGGCAUUGGUCCCAGUCUAUUGCUUGUUGUCAACUACUGAUGUUGAUAUCAAAAGGGCUGCUACAGAGAAGAUUUCAGCAGAUGCUUAUAGAGAAGAAAUGCAUUCAUCUAUAGAGUCACUUUUUUAUAUGCACGAGGCAAAAGGGCCUGCAAUAAUGGUACAAAAAGAGAAAACAAGAUGCCAAAGAAUUAUAUUCCAUAGUGUCAAAGGAAGAGGCACAGUCAAAUGCAGGUUUCCAAGUGUGACUCAAUAACCUGAUUUUUUUGCACUGUGUCAAAAUCCAAUAGCGUUUUUCCCUUUCUAGAGUUAUAGAGGAUGAAAACUUGACUUGUGUGUCCAUUUAAAAUAUUUGUUUAUUUAGUUUUAUCUUCCCAUCCACAUUCUUAGAAUGACUACAUUGAAAAUGGUUUUAAAAGUCACAUUAAAAAUAAAAUCAAAAUCCUCAAGUCAAUGAAUCUCUAUCUUCAAGGCCUAAUUCACAACUUCUUUAAAGUGUGGAAUCUACUCCAGGGUAAUUCUGAAAAUAUUCUGUGUUUAAUUGCAGCGUGUAGUUUGAAAUUGUUAUUCAUGCUUGUGACACACAUUGAAUUUACACAUAAAGUUUGUUGUCUAAUUUACUGAUUACUGAGAAGGGGUAAGGUGGCAGCAUCUUAAUCUAGGAAAAACAUUUCAAAUGUCUUUGCACACGUUUUACAUUUGGCAUAACCUAAAACACAUUUCCUCACACAACUCUUCCCCUUAACUCUUAAACCCCUGAGUAUGUCAGUGGAAACACAGCACUUUUUUUAUCUGGAUUCAUUUACACUCUCAUUUACUCAUCAGCAUGGUGUUUUGUAAGAGAUAUUUAAUAUCCUCCAAAAGCCAUUUUUCCUCCUGAACAUUUCAAAGUUUUUCCUGUAGGAAACACUGUGUUCCAAGCCAUAAAUUGGGUCUGAAUCCACAAAAUGGGAGUUGGGGGAAACCAUAAAUUUCAAAUGUGUUGCAAGCGGGACUGAUCUUAACUGUCCGUUGCCCAUCGAGUGUGGUUACGGGGAGGAGAGCUGAGCUCCCCUGUGAGAGGACCACCUUAAAUCCAUGGGGAUGAACUCUGAACCCGUUCCCAGGCUGGAGGAAGGGGAGCUUGUAUUCUUACUCUCACUCUGUGGACCAGAGGCAGCUUCCUUUUCGGGAAAACUCCUCACCGACGUCACCACUGACGAAUCUUCUUUGGGAGUAAUCAGAGCGACUUUCUCCUCCUGGAAGCGAAGAGCCAGCGACGUGCGUAAGCUGUCACAGAGCCACGGGCCGCUCCCCCUCACCCCCUGUGCAAUCCCGGGAUGAGCCCGACCCUCCCUGCAGCUCACUCACGCCUUAGAGCAAUUUCUCCUGCCCAUUUAUUUAAAAAAAAAAAUUUUUUUUUUUUUUAAUUGCCAGUAUUGGAAACCAACGCUGAUGAACUAUUUUCGAAAGGAAUGGAGGCUCUCAGAGAAUUGAAAAGCUGAAAAUGUAGCUCCUUGGGACACAUGGCUAGAAAGACAGGGUCAAGGGGGCUGCCGGGAGCCUCCUGCUAUGGCAGGGGGGAUAAAUCACGGUGGUGAUACUUCCCUGUAGUGAGUCGGGAAAGAUGAAAUGUGGCCUCUGGAAGCAUGAGGUGGUGCUGGUGAAAGACAACGCAAAAAAGUGGUUGCACCGACACCAACAGAACCAGACCUGCAUGGGGACAAGGCUUUGUUACUCAGGAGGUCCCCGCAGGUGGGGCCUUCGAGGUCACGGCCAUUCGCAUACCUGGAAUCUCACGGCUGGAGGCAGGGAGCACAGCCUCUCACUCACACCCAGCCAGGCCCCCUGACCUUGGCAUUGGACCCUGGACCCAGGACCCUGCUCCAGGCGCGUUGUGUCUGAGCAAAGCUGGAAGUGGCCCCCUCACGCCUCCUGCAGGGCGGCCUGGAGAGGGUCCCUUGGCUGAGAGGAGGGGACAGCCUCUGGCCAGGCCUGUGGUUCACGCUGCAGGCACACAGCCCCCGGAUUUGGUUUCCCGAUGAGUGUGUGCAGUGGCCUGUCAGUUUAUGGGUAGCGAGGGGACCAGUUUUUUCAAACUAGUAAUUCCCUAACUGACCACUCUCUCAACUAGCUAAUCCCUUUUUUUUUUUGUCUUUAUUUAUUUUUUUAAUAUUACAGUAAAAAAAUAUGAGGUCCCCAUAUACCCCCCUCAAUGGAAGGGGGUAGUCUUCUAGUUAUAGAAAUUAUUUAUUCCUUUAAUUAUUUGUCUGUAGCUGUGAUUGCAGGGUUAUAACUUACAGAUUUAACACCAAAAUUUCCUAUUGCUUUCUGCACAUUAUCUGUUCAAGGCUUCUUCUGAUAUCUUGAGUUCUUAAAAUUAUUGAAUAAAAUCUGUAACUGACUUACUCUGUUUAUGAGGGAUGGCUCUCUGCAUAUCACAAUAUAAAUAUUCCCAAAGCUCUCCUUCAACCCAGACAUUGACUGUUGGAGUUUUUCUUUGUGACCAGCAUGGUUCAACACCUGAGAAGCCUGGCUUAAAACUGAUCAGCCAUUUCUCUCUUUUAAAUAUUUAGCUUUUAAUAAAACACAAUUAUUACAGUAAUUGGUCAAAUGCUUCACCUCCCUAAAUAUACAUUCAUGAAGC
ensembl:lincRNA